UACGUAGGGCGCAAGCGUUGUCCGGAAUUAUUGGGCGUAAAGAGCUCGUAGGUGGCUUGUUGCGUCUGCCGUGAAAUCCCGUGGCUUAACUGCGGGUCUGCGGUGGAUACGGGCAGGCUAGAGGCUGGUAGGGGCAAGCGGAAUUCCUGGUGUAGCGGUGAAAUGCGCAGAUAUCGGAAGGAACAUCAGUGGCGAAAGCGACUUCCUGGACCAAUACUGACGCUCAUGUGCGAAAGCGUGGGGAGCAAACAGG
rnacentral:rRNA from 1 species